rnacentral:rRNA from 1 species
ACGGCUCAGUAACACGUCAAUAAUCUACCCUUAGACCUGGAAUAACCUUGGGAAACUGAGGAUAAUGCCGGAUAGGAGAUCGUUUCUGGAAUGAUCUUUCUCUGAACUAAGGACGAGUUGGCGGUGGAUUAGGUAGUUGGCGGGGUAAAGGCCCACCAAGCCGAAGAUCCAUAGGGGCCAUGAGAGUGGUAGCCUCGAGAAGGACACUGAGAUACUGGUCCUAGCCCUACGGGGUGCAGCAGGCGCGAAACCUCUGCAAUGCACGCAAGUGUGACAGGGGAAUCCUGAGUGCCUAUACUAAGUAUAGGCUUUUGCCAAGAGUAAAUAUCUUGGCGAAUAAGUGGUGGGUAAGACUGGUGCCAGCAGCCGCGGUAACCCCAGCGCCACAAGUGGCAAUCAUCAUUAUUGGGUCUAAAGCGUUCGUAGCCGGUUCUGUAAGUCUUUUGUGAAACUGAUGCCCUAAAUGCAUUAACGUGCAAUAGAUACUGCAGAGCUAGGGACUGGGAGGAGUUAGGGGUAUGCCUAGGGGAGCGGUAAAAUGUGAUAAUCCUAGGUAGACCACCUGUGGCGGAGGCGCCUAACUAGAACAGAUCCGACGGUGAGGAACGAAAGCUAGGGGAGCAAACUGGAUUAGAUACCCACGUAGUCCUAGCCGUAAACACUGUGAGCAAGAUGUUGCAUAUUCCUUGAGAAUAUGCAGUGUCGAAGAGAAGUCAUUAAGCUCACCACCUGGG